UAUAAUUACAGUUCAUAUGAUAUUAGCCAUUAGUUUAACUCACUCUUAAAAAACAACCCAAAAGCUUUAUUAGCAUCACAAUUUGUAUAUGGUUUGCAAGUUCAAAAAUCGAUAACAAUGUAAGUUAGCUGAGCAUGACCCAACCAAUUCUUCCAGGAGCAAAGGUCAUAGCUGCAGCUGCAGCUGCAGCAAACCAAAAAACCAGACCUCAGAAAUGCACAUAAAUUAUUUUCUUUAAACAUGACAAAACAAACAGAACUCAGAACACACACAUUGUACGGAUACAUUAUUUUCUUCAACUUUAUUUUUGGACAACAGCAAAUUCAAAUUCCACCAACAUCAUCAAGGCACAAUCUUAUAAGCCUUCAUUUUAUCUAUCCAGUAAAUGAAGGAAUUCUUGGAAUUUCUGAACCCCAAAAACCCGUGCUCCUUGCUCUUAUUCAUGCUCGAUAUCACAGCUUCACCACCCAAUAUCAAAUCAGCAAACCACCACACACCCACGUCCUCCAACUUGGUGGGAUGCAGCUGAUACUCCCUCACUAUCUCUUCCCAUACUGGACCCUUAUCCUUCAUUAUCUCCACCAAAAUCAAUCUCUUUUCUCCUUCCUCAAACCCGUAUUUCUCAAUCCCAAACUCCUCUGCCAAAAUUUUCCAGAAAUGCUUCCACUUGAACACAUCUCCAUUGUUGCAAUUAAAGGCUUCAUUUCUUGCGUAAGGAUCCACUGAUGCCCAAAUAUGUUGCUCCGCGAUCAGAUCAGCAUCUGAGGCAAUCGAGUAACAAUUCCAGGCUUGUUUAGUUCCAGGGAACAGUAAAGGCAACCCUUCGUGUUUACAUAUAACGGCGUAAACACAAAGUGUACCAAUAAUAUUCAUCAAGCUGUAUGGAGAAAACCCAAAAAUCUGAUCAGGUCUGGAAAUGGACCAAGUCAAUCCCUCCUUCUUCGCUGCCUCCUCAAACAAGAUAUCCUCUAAGGUGUAGUAAAAAUUGGGCACAUUCAAUCUGGGUAGAUCCUCCGUGAACGGCGGAUCAUGCGGUUGGAUCUUGCCAAACAACUCGAAUGGACCCACAUAGUGUUUAGUCCCUGUUUGAAGGCAGAUGUGGCCGAGAUUAGGGGCGUUGGGGAUGACUGCCUGAAGGACGUUCCGGAGCAUGCUACCGUUAAUCUCGCAGUUCUCGGCCUCCGAUGAUCGGUUAGCCCAGGAGACAUAGAAGAUGUGAGUGACAUCAGUGAGCUGGGAUAACUUGGCUUGGGUUUCAGCCUGAUCGGAGAUGUCACACUGGACAUACUCUACAGGAUGGUCGGCGUUCCAGUUGGGCCGGGGACGGCGUGCGACACCGUAAACUUUCCACGGGCCACCGGGGGUGUCAGAAAGCGGGAGGAUUUCAGCUAGGCUGUUACCGACGAUGCCAGUCACGCCCAACACAAGGCCCACACUCUGGAAGCUUCGCGGUGCAUCAUCUUCGUCAAAUUUCUUCUUGGCGGCGCCAAUAGCGCCGGCCCACCACCAGCUCAUGUUGAUGAGGUGAUUAUUGUCGGAGGCGAAGCGAUGGGAUUUAAUUCAGUAGGGUGUUGUGUUUGGUAAUGCCUAACAGUCCGUCUUCGAUUCGCGGCUAUGGAUUGGAAUGACAAGAAAUGAGGAUUGUAAAUGAGAGGAUGCUAUUUAUAUGGAAAAUAG
rnacentral:misc_RNA from 1 species